UGUUGGCGAGAGCGUGGCGGCGGGUUGGGGGUGCGUCUCGUGCGGGGUCGCUCGCGCCGCCGCCUCACGGCAGCGGGCGGGAACCUCCGGGCGAGGCGUGAGGGGACUGAGGGGUGAAGGGUGAGAACUGAGGGUUGAGGGGGCUGAGGACGGAAGGCUGAGUCCCUCCGCCUCUGAGGGCACCGCGUUAGACCCGCGGGUUUUGCGGGUACUCUGAGGAUGGAAGGGCCAGUUAGGAGGCUGAGCAAAGCCAUUGCUAAAGAUAGCAAAGAAAUGCAUCUCACUCCCAGUGACAUUACUGUGAAGAUGCAGAAGAGGAACACCAAAUUCCAAGACUUGCUGCAGGCAUGAAUGCUCCCAGAAGUGUGAGUCAGCUCAAAACAACUCCUAGGAUCUGUGAUGGAACAUGCCUGCCACUUUCACUGUUAAUGGAAAACAAUGAAGUAUCUGGCAGGAUCAGUUACAUUAAGGUGUGAUUUCCUGCUGGAAUAAGAUCUGGAGGCCAAAGGGGAGGUAAGUACUUUCUUAAUCUUAUUUAUUAAUCUUAAUAAAUGCUUUAACUAUUAAGUUACCA
rnacentral:lncRNA from 1 species